AUUUAUCCACUAUAAUGACUUAGCAUUAACACCUUACAUUUUAAACUUCCCCGGAUAAACAGUGGUCAUAGACUGAAUAAAAAUGGACGUUGACUCUAUUUAACUUUUUAAGUGCCUUAAAGUGCAAUACCACCUGGAACCGCUAGGGCUCCAGAGAAUUACUAGCUUCGUGGACUGUCAUUCAAAAAGCGUCAAUUUAUCUAAUGAAAUACAAAGUCAAACAUUUUUCCCAUUAUGUCAUUAGCUAAUUUCACCCCUACUCAAUGUGGAUGUCCCAUAAUUAGUUAAAUAUUAGGCUUCAAAGAGAGCUAAUGUUGGAGGUGUAUUUGGGUUUAACUGACAUACAUUAUUUGUGAUUGACAACGAACCGAAAACUCGAGUCGCACGCAACACGUCUUCACACCGUUGUGUUACGAAGAUACAAGCUGACCUUGCUGCGCUGUGGGGCCGCGAUCUCCUCCGGAUGCCCUUGUAACACUGCAGGGAGAUACCCAGCUCCUCCAUCAUGGCGCUGAAAGACACGCACUGCCAAAGAGAGGAACGAAUGAGGGCCUGGGUGAAGACACCAGACCACAGAAAGUCUUCCUCUUUCAUCCUCAGGCUUUGCCCAAGGUUUUUCAUAUGGAUACGGCUUCCUGCAGUUUCCCAUGAAAACAGCAGCCUGCCACUCUCCAGAUCAGUAGAUAAGGAGGUACCGGAGGAGGAGGUGGAGCCACGUCGCUGAAACUGACGGGACUGCACCCCGUAAAAGAAACAAAAGGCCUGACGAAAGCAUGCAAAGAAAAAGGGAUGGAGGAGAAAACAC